UGACCUGAGCCUAAGGAAGAUGCCCAACAACUGAGCCACCCAGGAGCCCCAGCAAUUAACAGGUUCCAGAGGUAAAUGAACAUAUCCAAGGACACCGAGCUCUAAGUGGUGGAAGCAAGCUUUGACCUCCAGAUCUUUGUGACUCCAAAUCUCAAGCUUUUUUUUUUACAACUUAAGCAGCUGGAAUGACCCAUCAUAAAAUACAAGUCAGAUGGUGAUACUGCCCUUCUGAAAAGCCUCCUUCUGGAAAGCUCAUUCCACGUGGCUGGCUUUGUUUUGUUCCUUGUUCUGUCUCCAGCUCCUGGAACAAGGCCUGGCAUACAGAGAAAACUCAAUAUAGAUUUGUUGAAUAAAUAAAUGCACCC